rnacentral:lncRNA from 1 species
UUACUAAACUUUCGUUGAAGCACCAUGUUCCCUUUGAACCUCCUGCCCAUUUUACCUCUAAGAAAAGAUCUCCUCCUACCAGUUCUCUAUCCUUUAGCCCUCACCAAAAACCUAGCCACUUUUAGGCACACAGUUGCUUUAAGAAGAACCAUUCUCACGACUGGACCGACACUCAAGGAAAUGGACAAAUUACAGGGCCCAUGGUGAACAACAUCAGGACUGCAGGAUUUCUGAGGAACUACAAUAUCCCAAAUGACAUCACUGUCUAAAAAGCUAAAAUACUGACACGUAGAGAACAUUACAAAUAGUCUAUCUUUGAGUAUCCCUUUUUUUGGUGUGUUGAAUAAAAAGUGAACAGUG